GCGAGCGUGGUGAAACUGGUAGACACGCGGGAUUUAGGUUCCCGUGCUGAAAGGCGUGGGGGUUCAAGUCCCUCCGCUCGCA
rnacentral:tRNA from 1 species